UGGAGAACACACCCAGAAAUCAUCCUCUGUCCCAGCAGGAGACACGAGCCCAGAUCCUGGGACUUCCACAGGGAGACAGUUUGAAGGGUCAUCCACUGGAGAUUUUUCCAAGAAAACGUCUUCUCUCCCAGCUGGAGGGACAACCUCAGGUAGUUCCACAGGGAAACAGACCGAUGGGUCAGUGUCUGGAGAACACACCAAGAAAUCAUCUUCUGUUCCAGCAGGAGACACGAG